rnacentral:rRNA from 1 species
CCCCUAGAUGUUCUGGGCCGCACGCGCGCUACACUGAACAGUUCAACAAGUCUUAACCUUGGCCGAUAGGUCUGGGUAAUCUUUGAACGCUGUUCGUGAUUGGGAUAGACCUUUGCAAUUAUGGGUCUUCAACGAGGAAUUCCUGGUAAACGCAAGUCAUCAGCUUGCAUUGAUUACGUCCCUGCCCUUUGUACACACCGCCCGUCGCACCUACCGAUUGAAUGGUCCGGUGAAAUCUCGGGACGGCGGCUUGGUCGCUUGCGUCCGACUGCUGAAACUUGAUUAAACCAUAUCAUUUAGAGGAAGGUGAANUCGUANCA